AUACGUAGGUGGCAAGCGUUGUCCGGAAUUAUUGGGCGUAAAGCGCGCGCAGGCGGUCCUUUAAGUCUGAUGUGAAAGCCCACGGCUCAACCGUGGAGGGUCAUUGGAAACUGGGGGACUUGAGUGCAGAAGAGGAAAGUGGAAUUCCAAGUGUAGCGGUGAAAUGCGUAGAGAUUUGGAGGAACACCAGUGGCGAAGGCGACUUUCUGGUCUGUAACUGACGCUGAGGCGCGAAAGCGUGGGGAGCAAACAGGAUUAGAUACCCUGGUAGUCCACGCUGUAAACGAUGAGUGCUAAGUGUUAGGGGGUUUCCGCCCCUUAGUGCUGCAGCUAACGCAUUAAGCACUCCGCCUGGGGAGUACGGUCGCAAGGCUGAAACUCAAAUGAAUUGACGGGG
rnacentral:rRNA from 1 species